GAAGAAAUCCACCCAUCUCUUGCUUUCCACCCAUCCCAUAAGCAGAAGCUGAGUGCCCAGGAGAGAGCCGAAGGAAAAGGGUGCAAUAGCACCAGGAUCAGCACCAGCCUCGAACCAUGGGAUGCCACUCCAUGCUUGCCCUACAAAGAUUCCCACCACUGCAGCCAUCGCCCACCGGCCAUGGAUGAGCUCUGCUUCUCUGUACCAUUUCAGGAAGGCCGGGUCCUUGCCUAGGCCUAGUGGGUCGAAUCCAUAGUC
rnacentral:misc_RNA from 1 species